AGCUUUGCGCAGUGGCAGUAUCGUAGCCAAUGAGGUUUAUCUGAGGCGCUAUUAUCGCUAAAAAGGGCUAAAGGUGUA
ensembl:snRNA U4 U4 spliceosomal RNA